rnacentral:rRNA from 1 species
AACGAACGCUGGCGGCAUGCCUAACACAUGCAAGUCGAACGAGACCUUCGGGUCUAGUGGCGCACGGGUGCGUAACGCGUGGGAACCUGCCCUUAGGGUCGGAAUAACUCCCCGAAAGGGGUGCUAAUACCGGAUAAUGUCUUCGGACCAAAGAUUUAUCGCCGUUGGAUGGGCCCGCGUUGGAUUAGCUAGUUGGUAGGGUAAAAGCCUACCAAGGCGACGAUCCAUAGCUGGUCUGAGUGGAUGAUCAGCCACACUGGGACUGAGACACGGCCCAGACUCCUACGGGAGGGAGCAGUGGGGAAAAUUGGAAAAUGGGCGAAAGCCUGAUCCAGCAAUGCCGCGUGAGUGAUGAAGGCCUUAGGGUUGUAAAGCUCUUUUACCCGGGAUGAUAAUGACAGUACCGGGAGAAGAAGCUCCGGCUAACUCCGU